UGUAUAGUACCAUAUUUUUCACAUUUUUACUUGUUUUUUUAGGGGAUGAUUCUGCUGUUUAAAAUGGUCCCAAAGCAUAGUGCUUAAGUGCUGUGCUCCUACAUACAGGAAGGCUGUGAUGGAAAGGAGAAUGGUGGUUACCAGGAGCAAUGGCUCAGUGAUCCAUCAUUCAUUCAGUGUUGGCAGUGAUUUGAUAGAACACAACUGCUAUGAAUAAUGAGAAUCAACUGAAUCUAAUCAACUGUGCUCAAGCCCCAGAGAAGGAAGUUUCACCAGCCAUAGGAACCAUCACUGUGGUGUGACUGAUGGGGGCCUAGCCUUGGCUGCAUUCAUGAAGAAUGGACUGUGUCAUCAGAAUGAUGCAUAGAUCCUGCCAGAAGACGGCUGCCAGGUACUAUAGAUAUCCUGAGAGCAAUAAUUUGGUCCCAAGGUAGGUG